GCCGGGUGUGGUGGUGCUCACCUGUAAUCCCAGCCAUUUGGGAGAUUGAGGCAAGAGGAUCAUGAGUUUAAAGCCAGCCUCAGCAAAAGCGAGGCCUUAAGCAACUCAGUGAGACCCUGUCUCUA
rnacentral:sRNA from 1 species